UUGCCUUAAACUAAUGAGUAGGGAAAACAAAGCGAGCGGUGGGAACGGCUCGUAGCGCCCUCAUGGGUGUCAAAUUUUGGAGGGGGUUAAAAGGCUGGCCGAGCGUUGACGCUGCCUACCUAGCAGAACUCGCUCGUGCUGGCCUCCCA